UCCCUCCGCCUCCGUCCCAAAUUACUUGUCGUGUCGCAGAAAUGGAUGUAUCUAGACGCAUUUUUAGUUCUAGAUACAUCCAUUUCUAUCCAUUUCUGCUAUAAGUAAUACGGGACGGAAGGUGUAUGUA
rnacentral:pre_miRNA from 1 species